rnacentral:rRNA from 1 species
UGAGGAAUAUUGGUCAAUGGGCGCUAGCCUGAACCAGCCAAGUAGCGUGCAGGAUGACGGCCCUAUGGGUUGUAAACUGCUUUUAUGCGGGGAUAAAGUCACCCACGUGUGGGUGUUUGCAGGUACCGCAUGAAUAAGGACCGGCUAAUUCCGUGCCAGCAGCCGCGGUAAUACGGAAGGUCCGGGCGUUAUCCGGAUUUAUUGGGUUUAAAGGGAGCGUAGGCCGUUUGGUAAGCGUGUUGUGAAAUGUAGGAGCUCAACUUCUAGAUUGCAACGCGAACUGUCAGACUUGAGUGCGCACAACGUAGGCGGAAUUCAUGGUGUAGCGGUGAAAUGCUUAGAUAUCAUGAAGAACUCCGAUUGCGAAGGCAGCUUACGGGAGCGCAACUGACGCUGAAGCUCGAAGGUGCGGGUAUCGAACAGG